AGUGAACGCUGGCGGUAGGCCUAACACAUGCAAGUCGAACGGCAGCACAGUAAGAGCUUGCUCUUACGGGUGGCGAGUGGCGGACGGGUGAGGAAUACAUCGGAAUCUACUUUUUCGUGGGGGAUAACGUAGGGAAACUUACUCUAAUACCGCAUACGACCUACGGGUGAAAGCAGGGGAUCUUCGGACCUUGCGCGAUUGAAUGAGCCGAUGUGGGAUUAGCUAGUUGGCGGGGUAAAGGCCCACCCAGGCGACGAUCCGUAGCUGGUGUGAGAGGAUGGUAGCCGACCUUGGAGGUGAGACACGGUCCAGAGUCCUACGGGAGGCAGCAGACGGGAAUAGUGGGCAAUGGGCGCAAGCCUGGUCCAGCGAGCCCGCGUGGGUGGAGGAGGCGUUGGGGGCGUAAAGCCGGUUUGUUGGUAAAGAACAGCAGCAGGUUAAUACCACGCGGUUCUGACGGUAACCAAUGAAGAAGCACCGGCUAACUUCGUG
rnacentral:rRNA from 1 species